AUUACAUGCAAAAUUUAUAUAUAUUGUUAUAUUAAUUUUUACAUAAUUUUAACAAAACGACAAAAGCAAAAAAAACCGCAUGUAUAAUUCAGAAGACGCUCGCUGCAAAGUCAAAAAAACAAAUGCAAAAUACAAAGUCAAAGCAGAAAUAACAAACACAAAAAAGUUUUUUUAAACACGCUCUGACAUCAUCUGAGCAAAAAAGAAAAGGAAAUAAAUUACAACAAACAGCGGCAGCAACAAAAACAACAGAAUCAACUACAAUUGCAAUCGGCGAAGUUUUCACCCAAUUCGGCCAAUCACACAGUUUCUUUUCUUGAUUUCGGACGACAACAAAAAGGUUUUCUUCAAAAUUCACUUUUAAAAAAGACAUCAAAGCCGAAAUAAAAUAAAGAACAAUACAAAUAUAUCAAAUCAAGCGCGGACAUAAUAAAACCAAGCAAUGCAACAGAAACAAUAAUAACUAUCAAAUUAAAACAACUGUUAAAAAAGAAAAAUUAGAAAAGUCCAACAAAAUUUCUGUUAGGUCUCGAAACCAGAAACGAAAAACCCUUUAAACGACGAAACAAAAGAGAACAGAAACCGACACAAGGACAUGAGUCAAUGCAAAACCUAAGCGCCAAAAUUCAAAUAGCGAAACGUCCUUUUGAAGCAUUCCACGACCUAAAUUCGAGCUGCGAAAACUUUAAACGGAACUCAAAACUCUCUAGAUCAAAUACAAAUUAUACUAAAUCCAAAAUUACUCAGUGUUUUUCGAAAGGCGAAACGUGACUUGUUUUUCGCCAAAGAGUUGUUAGAUCAACGAAAAAAAAAA